rnacentral:misc_RNA from 1 species
GAUGAAGAACGCAGCGAAAUGCGAUAAGUAAUGUGAAUUGCAGAAUUCAGUGAAUCAUCGAAUCUUUGAACGCACAUUGCGCCCCUUGGUAUUCCGAGGGGCAUGCCUGUUCGAGCGUCAUUAUAACCCCUCACGCUCAGCUUGGUGUUGGGGCCUGCUGCACUGGCAGCCCUUAAAAUCAGUGGCGGCGCCAUCUGGCUCUAAGCGUAGUAAUUCUUCUCGCUAUGGAGUCCUGGUGGAUGCUUGCCAUCAACCCCCAAUUUUUCUAUGGUUGACCUCGGAUCAGGUAGGGAUACCCGCUGAACUUAAGCAUAUCAAUAAGCGGAGGA